rfam:Trametes versicolor FP-101664 SS1 unplaced genomic scaffold TRAVEscaffold_11, whole genome shotgun sequence.
GGUGCUAUAGUGUAGUGGUUAUCACUCGGGAUUUUGAGAAAGAGCUUCCCGGAACCCAGGUUCGAACCCUGGUAGCACCU